rnacentral:lncRNA from 1 species
UUUUUAAGUUUAAAAACUUAGAUUGAGGUGUGUUUGUAGGCGAAAACGAUGUUGGUCGUUAUUAAAUACUAAUUUAAUUGGGAUGUGUAGGUGGAUGUUCAGAUGAAUUUGUUUGAUAGACAGUUCACAGUAAAAAAUACUAUGCAAGUUACUAUGCAAAUAGUGAUUUGUAGGAAAGAAAGAUUUUUACAGGAGAGACCGUAUAUAUGCUUCUCUGAAGAAGGGUGGCGAAAUACUUGUAAGAUUUUUCUGGAUUUUCUAGUAUUUUUUCUGUCUGGAAAUGUGGCUGGCGAAAAUUAGCGAGCGAAGUUACUAUGCACGAUAACUAUGCAUGCACGAGGCUUCACGUGGGAUUUUUUUUUUUUUUUUUUUUUUUUUUUUUUUUUUUUUUUUUUUUUU